rnacentral:rRNA from 1 species
CCCUUAGAUGUUCUGGGCCGCACGCGCGCUACACUGAUGCAUUCAACGAGUCUAAAACCUGCUCUGAUAGGGGUGGGUAAUCUUUUGAAUGUGCAUCGUGAUUGGGAUAGAUGAUUGCAAUUUUUCAUCUUCAACGAGGAAUGCCUAGUAAACGCAAGUCAUCAGCUUGCAGUGAUUACGUCCCUGCCCUUUGUACACACCGCCCGUCGCUCCUACCGAUUGAAUGAUCCGAUGAAUAUCAUGGAUUGAGGAUGCAAGCAGGUUCGCCUGUCUUCAUCUUCGAGAAGUGAAGUAAAUCUUAUCAUUUAGAGGAAGGAGAAGUCGUAACA